rnacentral:rRNA from 1 species
AGGUCCAGCCUGCCCAGUGACAAAUGUUCAACGGCCGCGGUAUCCUAACCGUGCGAAGGUAGCGUAAUCACUUGUUCUUUAAAUGGGGACUAGUAUGAAUGGCAUCACGAGGGUUACACUGUCUCCUCUCUCUAAUCAGUGAAACUAAUCUCCCCGUGAAGAAGCGGGGAUAAAUACAUAAGACGAGAAGACCCUAUGGAGCUUUAAAUUUUAUCCAGGCACUAAACUACUACCUUAAGUCACUGACCUUUACCACAAUUACCACGGCGCCAUGAAGAUGAAUUUUAGGUUGGGGUGACCACGGAGUACAAAAAAACCUCCACGCUGAAUAGGCCUCUUAAGUCUUGAGCAAAGGGCCACAACCCAAAGCACUAAAAAACUAACACCCAUUGACCCAAUUUUAUUUGAUCAACGAACCAAGUUACCCUAGGGAUAACAGCGCAAUCUACUUCAAGAGUUCUUAUCGACAAGUGGGUUUACGACCUCGAUGUUGGAUCAAGGUAUCCCAGUGGUGCAACCGCUACUAACGGUUCGUUUGUUCAACGAUUAAAACCCU